rnacentral:rRNA from 1 species
GACGAACGCUGGCGGCGUGCUUAACACAUGCGAGUCGAACGAUGAACCUCGAAAUGAUUUCUUCGGAAAGAUUUUUGAGAGGAUUAGUGGCGAACGGGUGAGUAACGCGUGAGCAACCUGCCUUAGACAAGGGGAUAGCCUCGGGAAACCGUGAUUAAUACCCUAUGAGACUCCACUUACGAGUGUAAGAGAAGUUAAAGCUAUUGCGGUCUAAGAUGGGCUCGCGUCUGAUUAGCUAGUUGGUGAGAUAAAAGCCCACCAAGGCGACGAUCAGUAACCGGCUUGAGAGAGUGAACGGUCACAUUGGAACUGAGACACGGUCCAAACUCCUACGGGAGGCAGCAGUGGGGAAUAUUGCACAAUGGGGGCAACCCUGAUGCAGCGACGCCGCGUGAGCGAUGAAGGAAUUCGUUUCGUAAAGCUCUGUACUAGGAGAAGAUAAUGACGGUAACCAAGGAGGAAGCACCGGCUAAAUACGUG